AUCCUUUUGCAGUUCACGAGCAUGAUGAUUGGGUGUUCACACGCUUAUGUGAGAUGUGCCACUCUUUAACCUUAUUAGGAAGUCGGCACAUUAUCCAUCUAACC
ensembl:snoRNA